GAUGAAGAACGCAGCAAAAUGCGAUAAGUAAUGUGAAUUGCAGAAUUCAGUGAAUCAUCGAAUCUUUGAACGCACAUUGCGCCCGCCAGUAUUCUGGCGGGCAUGCCUGUUCGAGCGUCAUUUCAACCCUCAAGCACAGCUUGGUGUUGGGACUCGCGUUAAUUCGCGUUCCCCAAAUUGAUUGGCGGUCACGUCGAGCUUCCAUAGCGUAGUAGUAAAACCCUCGUUACUGGUAAUCGUCGCGGCCACGCCGUUAAACCCCAACUUCUGAAUGUUGACCUCGGAUCAGGCAGGAAUACCCGCUGAACUUAAGCAUAUCAAUAAGCGGAGGA
rnacentral:misc_RNA from 1 species